rnacentral:RNase_P_RNA from 1 species
CAAGUGGGUGGGGUGAUCGCUGGUAGUCCAGAUCUUCAAGGUCUUGGAUCACUGGAGGAAAGUCCGGGCUCCACAGGACAGGAUGGUCGAUAACGUCGACCGAUUGUGAAAUCAGGGAAAGUGCAGCAGAAAGUAAACCGCCGAACGGUUGGUCACUUGUCGCCUCGGCAACAGGUGUAUCCAUACGCGUGGCAAGGGUGAAACGGUGCGGUAAGAGCGCACCAGCGUUCAAGGUGACUUGGGCGGCUAGGUAAACCCCAUUCGGAGCUAGACCAAACAGGGUGGAUGAUUGGUUUCGACUAAUCACGAGGUGGUCCGCCUCGCAUGACACUCGGGUAGGUCGCAAUUGAGGCGGCGAGCAAUCGCCGUGCACAGAUAAAUGAUCACCGAUCUGAUCUCUCCCGAGAUCGAAUCACAGAACCCGGCUUACAAGCCCACUGGCAAC